rnacentral:rRNA from 1 species
AAAAUGACUCUCGACAACGGAUAUCUCGGCUCUCGCAUCGAUGAAGAACGUAGCAAAAUGCGAUACCUGGUGUGAAUUGCAGAAUCCCGUGAACCAUCGAGUUUUUGAACGCAAGUUGCGCCCGAAGCUAUUAGGUUGAGGGCACGUCUGCCUGGGUGUCUGAC